rnacentral:rRNA from 1 species
GGCCUAACACAUGCAAGUCGAGCGGUAGAGAGAAGCUUGCUUCUCUUGAGAGCGGCGGACGGGUGAGUAAUGCCUAGGAAUCUGCCUGGUAGUGGGGGAUAACGUUCGGAAACGGACGCUAAUACCGCAUACGUCCUACGGGAGAAAGCAGGGGACCUUCGGGCCUUGCGCUAUCAGAUGAGCCUAGGUCGGAUUAGCUAGUUGGUGAGGUAAUGGCUCACCAAGGCGACGAUCCGUAACUGGUCUGAGAGGAUGAUCAGUCACACUGGAACUGAGACACGGUCCAGACUCCUACGGGAGGCAGCAGUGGGGAAUAUUGGACAAUGGGCGAAAGCCUGAUCCAGCCAUGCCGCGUGUGUGAAGAAGGUCUUCGGAUUGUAAAGCACUUUAAGUUGGGAGGAAGGGCAGUUACCUAAUACGUAAUUGUUUUGACGUUACCGACAGAAUAAG